GAAAACCAGAGGCAUAUGACUACUGAAAACAGUGUAUGAUCCAGGAUUUUCUUUUGCUAUAAAGAUCAUUACCAGGACAAUUGGAGGCAUCUGCAUAAAUUCAGGUCAUAAACUCCAUGGAAGCAAAGAGCUUGUCUAUGUUGUUCAUCACUGCCCAUGGUGGCCAGGAUAGUGCCUAGCACAGAGAGGAGAAUGUUUGUUGAAUGAAUACAUGGUGAACAGCAGCAGUGAAAUGCAUAUAUUGAGAGCUUAUUAUCUGGCCGACACCGUGCUGAGCCUUUCUAUGCAUUCCCUCGCUAAUCUCACCAGCUCAUCUUCUUCAAGGAAGAUAUCCUCACUUUGCAGAUGAUACAAUGGAGCCUUAGAAAGGUGAGCCCACAGGUGCGCUGCUACACAACUGGUCUGUGGCAGAGCCACAGUUGUCACCCAGGCCCAUCCGACUUUGAAGCCACUAUUUGCCAGAUAUGAGGAAACUGGAGGAUUGAAUUACACAUUUAUUAUCCUGAAGGAUAAUGGCAUGUUCUAACCAAAGGGCAAAGAGCCAGGUCAAGAAAGAGAACAGAGCUGCUCCGGCUUCAUGUCCUUGGAGAACUUGUGCAAUGAUGAAGGUGUUGUCACCUGUGUCCAGUUCGGAGCAAUGUUCAGAAAGGGGUGGCAGGGCGGGCGGCUGCACAUUGUCGUGGAGGUCCAGGAAGCAGCACAAAGGUGUGGCUUGCUCUGGCGUCCCAGGGGAAGCGACGCUUCUGGGCGCUUUGCCGCAUUUUCAAGCUUCUCCGGUGAAAAAUAGACGGCCGGCAGCAGGCUCCAGAUGGCCACAGGAUGUGGGCCACGCUUCCGGAGAUGCUGAUGUCGGGGCUGUAAUCCUCUGUCACAGGCAGAGUUUGACGUGUGGCCGUCCUCACGCAUGGACCUGGGGGAGACUGGCUGCCCGCAGGGCCUCGAGGACUGUGGAGUGGCGAGUUCCUUCUCUGAGCAAAUUUUAGUCUCAGGACAGCGCUGGUCCCCGCACAGCAAACCAACGAAUCCAAACAGAAGGGGC